rnacentral:rRNA from 1 species
CCUACGGGUGGCAGCAGUGGGGAAUAUUGCACAAGGGGGGAAACCCUGAUGCAGCGACGCCGCGUGAGUGAAGAAGUAAUUCGUGAUGUAAAGCUCGAUCAGCAGGGAAGAAACAGACGGUACCUGAGGAAGAAGCCCCGGCUAACUACGUGCCAGCAGCCGCGGUAAUACGUAGGGGGCAAGCGUUAUCCGGAUUUACUGGGUGUAAAGGGAGCGUAGACGGCGAAGAACGUCUGAAGGGAAAGCCCGCGGCUUAACCGCGGAACGGCUUGUCAAACUUUUUUGCUGGAGUACCGGAGAGUUAAGCGGAAUUCCUCGUGUAGCGGUGCAAUGCGUAGAUAUUAGGAGGACCACCAGUGGCGCAGGCGGCUUACUGGACGGUAACUGACGUUGAGGCUC